rfam:Triticum aestivum genome assembly, contig: Triticum_aestivum_CS42_TGACv1_scaffold_049703_1BS
CAAGUACUCCUUUCUGUCCCAAAAUACUUGUCGGAAAAGAUAAAAAUAGAUGUAUCUAAAAUUAAAAUAUAUCUAGAUACAUCCAUUUCUCCGACAAUUAUUUUCAGACGGAGGGAGUAGUAC